AGAUCCCAGAAUAUAUCCCAAGGAUCAAAAGCCCAGAAGCGCAAAAACAUCCCCAGCUUUCUGAGCAACCAGUUGUCACGUGACAACGUGAAAUGAGUGUGGAGUCCACUCACCUGACCAGAAGCCAGCGGCAAAGCGUGAGAGAGCUGAGACCUCUUAACUUCUUCUUGGACCGAAAUGUCAUCCGUCUGGGAGCCUGAGCCCAUUUCAGCUGGGAAGCCUGGACGCUGGGUCCCGGGUAGCAGUGCGGAGGAUCUGAGAAGGAAAUCUGCCUGGACCCCAUGGAAUUCACCCUGCCCCAGGACUGGCUAUUAUCAAGCUGAAGAAUGCAACAAUCCCAGAAUGAGGCACAUGCAAGUGUGGAUGUGCAAGGGUUAAGACGAGCUUCGUGUGAUCACAGGCAUUCCAAGUGUGACCUUCCUGAUUCCCGGCUUCA